rnacentral:rRNA from 1 species
AACGAACGCUGGCGGUGUGCCUCAUACAUGCAAGUCGUACGCGAAUCCUGCCGCAAGGCAGGGUUUGAGUGGCAAACGGGUGCGUAACACGUAGGUAAUCUUCCUUUGAGUUGGGGAUAAGCCCUCGAAAGGGGGUCUAAUACCGAAUAACACUUCGGGCCGGCAUCGGCCUGAAAUUAAAGAUGGCCUCUGCUUGCAAGCUAUCGCUCGGAGAUGAGCCUGCGGCCGAUUAGUUAGUUGGCGGGAUAAAAGCCCACCAAGACUUCGAUCGGUAGCCGGUCUGAGAGGAUGUCCGGCCACACUGGGACUGAGAUACGGCCCAGACUCCUACGGGAGGCAGCAGUAGGGAAUAUUGC